GUGCCUGCUUUGGCAGCACAUACAUUAAAAUUGAAAUGAUACAGAGAUUAGCAUGGCCCCUGUGCAAGAAUGACAUGCAAAUUCAUGAAACAUAAACUUAUUAU
rfam:Pteropus alecto contig166128, whole genome shotgun sequence.